rnacentral:rRNA from 1 species
GGUUUCUUGAGUUAUUUAAGAAAUCUGACCUGCCCACUGAAAAAUUUUUGAAGGGCCGCAGUAUAUUGACUGUGCAAAGGUAGCAUAAUCAUUAGUCUUUUAAUUGAAGGCUGGUAUGAAUGGUUGGAUGAAGUAAAUUCUGUUUUAUAUUAAUUAUGUUGAAUUUAGAUUUUAAGUAAAAAGACUUAAAUGUUAUUAAGGGACGAGAAGACCCUAUAGAGUUUAAUAGAUGUAAUAAUUAAUUAAGUUAAAAUUAAAUUUUUAAUUAUUAUGAAAUUUAUUUAGUUGGGGUGAUUAGAGGAUAAAAUAAACUCUUCUUUAUAUUUAAUAUUAUAAUUAGUUGUGUGAUCCAUAUUUAAUGAUUAAAAGAUUAAAUUACCUUAGGGAUAACAGCAUAAUUUUUUUUGAGAGUUCAUAUCGAAAAAGAAGAUUGUGACCUCGAUGUUGGAUUAAGAUUAAUAUUGGGUGCAGAAAUUCAAUAAUUAGGUCUGUUCGACCUUGAAAAUCUUACA